UCCUUUGCGUUCUCCAGCAUGUGAAAUGUCUUGCAAUCAUCAUUGACGGCAUCUCUGUGUGUAAUGUGCCAACAUCCAGCAAGUCUGCUGUGCUGUGCCAACUCUUGUUUUGUGUGACCCCUUUGUUUACAUUUGUGUGGACUGUCAAACACUUAAAAAUAAAUCUGAAUGCCAUAUUUUUCUUUGUUUGAAAUCUGCCUCGAUCAGCUUUUGUUCUACGGCUGGCACGUCCCCGUAAACGUGACGGACGUUUUCUGCCAAUUGCUCUGCUGUCUAGUUAAGGAGGACGCUUUCGAGGGCCACAGCGGAUUAUUUCGGGCCUGUGAGCCCUUUCUGUCAGAAAACGGUGGGGGCUGGAAGAUGUAGUUAAAUGUCACUGAUGUAUGCACCACUUUCACAGACAUUGUUUACAGUCAACAGUGUGAACCAUUAUAGCAGCCACACAGCCUUUGCCUUGUUAACAAGGGCGACUGGAGAUACCCUCGUGUACGGUUCACUUCCCAAACACACUGCGGUUUGAUUGUCUUUGUCGUUGGCCCAUGACCCCUGAAACUGAACCAUUGUGUGCGUGUUGUGAUGCUUGCAUUUGUGCGCAGAAAGGGGGAAAGAAGUGGCGUUAAUGCUCCCAGUGUUUGGAAGUUUACACUGAGGGUGAUCAAGAUGCACCCAAAUGGCCAGAGAUUAGUUAUUUAUAGGCAUGCAUAGGUCACCGGCGGUCAUUCCCGGACACAAAGGACCUGAUUGUGUGGCCUUCCCCCAUUGAUCUGCUGGUGUCAUUAGUCACCCUGAAUUGCAUUUGUGAACCUCAUGAGUCGUGGCAGAAAGGGGAUGCGGUCCCAAGCUGCAAGCUGCACUAAGUUCUGUUAUUACUGCCUUAUCUAUGAAGACAGUAGAGGCGAGGAUGGAAAGUGCUUGUAGAAUGUUCUGUUUUCAAUGUUCCAUCAUAUUUGUAUUCCUACGAUUGUCAGACUUGUGCACAUGCAUUACAACUAAACAGAUUUGGAAGGAAAAUGAAGCAAAUAAAAGUUGUAUCUGUGGCCCAUGCAGGCUUUUGACUGUUCUCCGCUUUUCCAUGAUUAUGGGUUCACUUGUGUCUCAAUAUAUUAUAAAAUAAAAUAAUGCUUCAACAAUCAUAAAGGUAAUUUAGAACUGACUCAAUUGUAUCUUGUUACUGUAUCACCUCAGACUCUAAAAUGUUUUUCUUUGGGUUAUUGUUGCCCUGAACAUUGUGCUUGUUUGACAUAAGCUGGCAGAGUUGCAUGUUUUAAAAUGAUGGACUGUGCCUUGCCCUGCUUAGGGAGUGAAGGUCCUCUUUCAAUGAGGGAGGUUCCUCUUGUAAAUAUUUGGGAGUAAUGGCAGAUGCGUCAUUUGAACAAGGGUGUGGUCAGAAAUGCUCGGAAGAGAGGGGCCGGGAUAUCUUGUGUGCAAUGUUGACAUUGCGCUGAGUUUUUAUAACUACAUCUGCCUCGUCUACUUUUUCCCCUCCCCACUCUCCAGCCAGCCUUUGCCCAGACACUGAUUUGUUGCAGUUUAAGGCGCCUUAAUUACAGGCCUCAGUUCCGUAGUAAUGGCCUAUUUUCUGAAGAAACCACAGAGGUUCCUUCCUAAGUGUUUGGAGAUGCUGUCUAGCGUUUUAUGGAUCCCCCCACCCUCAUGUCCUUACACUUUUCCCACCAACAUUUUUUUUUUUGCUGGCUUUUCCCCUCAUUGCAUUGCAUUUAUUAGUCAUGAAUUUCGUUCAGAGUGCCGUUGCUAUUCCAAGCCAGUCUAAAGGUUUCCCUUGUCUUGCUGCUGAAGAAACGUUACGGCCGAGUCAGUCAGCAGCACCACUGCUUCCUUUAUAGACUCCCUCCAUCUCUUUGAUAAAGGCAGGUCUAUUCUAUUGGCAGAACAGUAAGGUAAUAUCAGUCACCUCAGCCUAAGAGGCCAUUUAGUGAGACAAAAUAAGACAAGAUGGAAAGAAGUGGACGUGUGUUGACUGGAGUACCUAAAGGAGUGAUGCCAUCCAUGUAGCCAGGCCGCGCUCCCUAGUGACGCAACACCUUCGACGUUGCAACUAGUCAGGUCAAGAGCAAUGCAAGUACUUUCUGAGUUCCCGAAAAUAUGGGAACUCCUUUCACUUUGUCGGGAAGCCAACAACCGUAAGCAAACCAAGGGAGGCGGGUCAACCAUGCCGUUUGGGAAAUUGUUAUGCUCUUGGUCAGACCAAGUCUCGAAGAGAUUUGAUUGUUGAUGAUAGUCAGGCUGCCAUCCAUGACGUCCCCUUCUCUACAUCACUCUGGGCCUCACUCAGCUUGGCCUCAGGGUUCAAUGGGGCUAAAUGGUUGGAGCAUGUGACCACCAGAACGAAUGCCUCUGCUCCUUUUAGACAUGGGGCUUCUGGAGGCUCUGCUGUCUCCCUGCCCUAUCCCCUCACCCAUCCCACCCCACCCAUCCACCCCUCCAUCCCUCAACUCUGUUUUGCUCUGGCACCCCUUUUAUUUCUCGCUCGCUAUGAAAAUCAAAAAGGGAGAUAAAGAGACUCUUCAUUUCCCCCGGGGUUGAGAGUUUUUUUGUUGUUGCUUGUUUUGUAUGGGCUGUAGUAAACAAACAAGCCUUUUCUAUCGGUGAGUGUGAUGUUGGAGCACGCAAGGAAGCGUGCUGAUUUUAAUUGUAAUUAGAGGGUGGAAAUUGGUGGGGGGAUUCGUGCCAGCGGGAUAAGCUCUGUCACUCGGGCCGCUCGGGCAUUUGUGUGCACGGUGAAGUCUUUGACGGCUUUUGGAUGGAGCUGAUGAUCUCUGGGCUCACACCACACCGCCCUUCUGUGGAAACGCACCAACAACAAAAAAGAGCAUGGAGAAAAAGUCGUAACUAAGCUUUGAAUGGGGGCGAUUUUGGAGUUGUGGUCAGAGGACAAAGCACCCACUUGUAACCGGUUCUCAAAGCCAGUAGAUGGAUGCUGCUGACGGGGGCCAUCCAUCCGUUUGCGUCAGUACGCCAUAUAUGAUUGCGCGUGUGUGUGUGUGUGCGUGUGUGUAUGGUGUUUGAGUGUAUGCGGCCAUUCACAGCACUGCUUUUCAGGCCCCGCUGAUGAGUAUUGACCUUCAAUUGAAGCCUCUCAACUUGGCUCAUUGUUUCCCUGCUGAAUUUGUUCGUAAUUACCGCUACCAAGGUUUUUUUUUCAUGUAGAGAAUGGUGUGGUUUGCACUUCAUGGGCAGGCAGUGUAAUUGCCAGAACAGUGUGUCAAUCCCCUCCGCCUUCCUUCUCUUUCCAACAUCAAUGCAUUUACAUCGACAUUCACAUAGGUACACCCACUUCAAAUCGAGCGUUUCACCAUCCUGUAAAUGGUUCAGCAAUAAAAGAAAAAAAAGCUACAGAAGCUUCCCCACAUCACAUGCAACAUUCAAACUUGAUAUUAGAAAUGUACAGGAUCCAGGAUCCGGUUCCGGAUCCGGCAGGAUAAUAGGGUUUUCAGCAGUGGAUUUGGUAUCCGGCAGUUACCUAAAAAUCAGGAUCUGGGGCAUCUCUACUCUUUACGCCGUUGAAGGCAGUGUGGCAGUAAGCCAAUGAGUCUUACAAAUAGUUUGCGCCAACAUAAUAAAAAGGGCCCACGUGUGCGAGUUGCUAUGUGUUUCAACCCUUUCGUAGGAUCCGGUAUCCGGUUCCGGAUCCAGCAGGAUCUUAAGCAGUGGAUCCGGUAUCCGGCAGGAUCCUAAAAAUCAGGAUCCGGUGCAUCUCUACUUGAUAUAAAGUUACACUGCAAUGCAUAGGGCAAGAAGGGGGAGAAGAAGACACUCUCCAGUUUUAAAAUAAGACCCUCUUGAUCCCAUAAUUACAUGCGGGAGGUCUACCAUACCCAGUAACCCUGUGGAAUCAUAACGCCAGUACCUGUCAAGAGCUGGCUGCCUAAUUGCUGGUUUGAGUUCUGUUACCAGCAAGAAGAGCUUCCAUUUCGGGGAGCUCACAUAUAAUUAAAACAUGUCUGCAAUAGAAAGUAAUAGGUAUGUCCCUCGUCAUAUAACCCCUUGUGACAGUGCUAUUAUUAUUAUUGCAUUUCCCUUCUUGUUACUGUAGGGAUUGGGAGUCGAGAGAUUGUCCAUGUGAAGAUGAAGAUCAGCACUUUAUUGCCUUAUACACAAAGUGUGUGUGCGUUGGUGCGUGCGUGCGUGCGUGCAUCCAUCCGUUAAAAUAUAUAAUGGGUUAAUGUCUGGCUGCUCUAAAUAUGCUGUCAAGACACGGCUCAGUCAGGUAGAGUCAAGACCUUGCACAGGGAGUGACUCAUAACGAUGAGUCAUGCUUUUUGAAUUUUGGUACGCCCUUUUCUUCCAGCAUACACUGAAGAUUAAUUCUCUAAUUGUCAUUGUUUGUUCCAGUCGCGAGUCUUAAUUUAGCACACGUUUUGAGUCGGCCUGCCUGCUGUGCUCUUGAUUCUGUCAAAUGGAGCGAGUGUGCUCUCUGGUCUCCACAGACUUAAAGGGUCUGUGGUAAUUAAGACCUAGCUCGCUCCUCUUGUCUGGGCUGGCGAUGAAUCAGAACGCAGUAAGACACCACAGACCUUUCCCACAGGAACCCUUUCUCUCUGAGAUAUAGGAUGAAGAGGCCAGGGCAGGAUUAAUCAAAUAUAGCCCAACAGUAGAGCAGACUACUAGGGUGAGCUUCAACUUAUCUGGUAGCGCAGGGGUUCCCAACCUUUUUCAACUGGCCCACUUGAAAUUGUGAAAAAUGUUCGGGGCCCACCUCUGACCCAAUUAAGAAUAAAACUCAAAACAACACACACCAAAAUAUGAUUAUUAUUUUUGGAAAAUGAUUUCAAGGCCCACUUGGAAUACCUUCAGGGCCCACCAGUGGGCCCCGGCCCAUAGGUUGGGAAUCACUGUGGUAUCGGAUAUGUGCUGCUGUGGCAUUGGAGGUUCUCUUCCACAUAGAUGGCGCCGGUGAUUGCAGAGAUGAGUUUGCGCUUCCUAAAUCCUCUACCUCCAUUUCCUACCAGUGAAGGGGGGGGGGGUGUCUUGUGCCUCUCUGCCAUCCUGCACUUCCCUGUUGGUGGUGCCGCUCAAAAAAUGAAAUGAAACUGCACGGUGGGAAAAAAAAAGCGUUAUUGCAGCCUUGUUGUUUUAGUGCAAUCAGGUCGUCAGAGGAACGGGAGAAUUGCUUGUAUGACAGGAAGUGAAAGUCACAAAUCGUGUCGCACACCCUCGAACCCCCCGACCCCCCCCCAGGGUAGGUUACCAUGGCUGCAAGCGAGGGCAUGGCCUGCAACAGGAAGUGCUGAAAUGGGGAAUGGGGGAAUGGGGUGAUGGGGGAGGGGGGGUGCUUACCUUUCCAUCCUGAAUUGCUUCUGUUUGCCCAUCCACUGGACCCUUUUCACCUUCAUCAGAAGGCUUCCCAUCGAGCAGGGAAAGGAAGCGUGGGAACUGUUAAACAAGGCAAACAUGUUAUCGUUAUGAUGACUGAGUCAGGUUCAUCCUUCCUGCUGCUGGAAAUGACUGCCCUGGAUAAAUUCAGAUUGAGUGGCUCCCCCCCCCCCCCUUCACUGCAGGUAGGUAGGUAGGGGGUAGGGUCAGUCCACUAGUUCAUUAUGCAGUGCCACAGGAGGGAAUGGGAUACUGCGAACAGGGAAGCCGACAAAGGGGGAACAAAGGGGUUGGCUGUCCUGGGGGCUGUCCCGGGGGGCCCAUAAUUGGGUCCAUGUAUUCGGUGACUCUUUCAGGUGACUCUGCCCAUAAUUGGGUCCAUGUAUUGGGUGGGGGGCCCUUUCAGGUGACUCUGUCCUGGACCCAGUCAAAGCUGUCAGCGGCCCCGACUACGGAGAUGAUGCAACCAUGCAAACCCCUUGAUGAAUUGUCUCGUGUCAGGAGCUGUCAUGGGGUGCAUUGCAAUAUGCACACUACCGUCCUCCACUUGUGGCCUCGCCCCGCCUCCUGGCCCUGCCUCCGUGGAGAAAACAAUUAAGUUUUAAAGAGCUUUUGCGAGAUAUUGAAAUACUAUGCUGUUAUCAGUGAUGCCAUCACAACGUAUUACUUCCUAGUACAAGGCCACAUGCACAAGUGGAGGACGCAAGUCUGCAUGUUGGAAUGCAGCCAUAGAGACUAGUUCUGUGUAAUCUCCCUUUGGUGGCAUCAAUCUCAGAUGCUGGAAAGACGAUUAACAUCAGAUGGCAAAACUAAGCCCUUUGGUCCAUCAAGCAGUCUUGGCCUCGCAGCCUCUCCUGCUAGUCUUUCAGCGAGCAUGAAUAGGACAAAUGCAAACAAGCGAAGAGUUGUUUGUGUCUGUUGUUGUUUUAGUCGUGCCUUUUGUCACAGCCCCUCCCUGCAAUUGUUGGCCGAUUUGUUUGGUGAAUGACCUCAUCGGUAAACUGUUUUCAUGGUCACAUAAAAUGCUCCAGGUCAUGGGGGAGGGAGCAGUAACUUAUUUAGCCUGCUUCGUCGAAGUGCAAGACAACCUGUUAAACAAGGCCGAUGUGAACGAUCUUUUCAAAACAUGAUGCAAUCUUUUUUAUAAAGCAUUUGUUAAAGGGACAAGAAAAUCUCCCCUUCUCAAUUUCAAUUCCACUAUUCUGGGCAAUUGCACCUGUGGAAUGAAUGGGCCAUUGUUGUCUGGUGAAAGGUGAGUAAGGGCUAAAGGUGGCGAUGCUCUGGGCAGGUGCUUUGUGCCAUGUUGCUGAACCACAUUACUCACAAAUGCUGUUUCAAGAUUCAACAUUUUCCUUUAUUCGUCCAGAGGUAAAUUUGUUUUGGACAUACAUGCCAUAGCUGCCUCAAAACACUCAACACAACGGCAAAAAAUCCGGAAACAUACAGAUAUUAAAGGGACACCGUGUGAGAUUUUUAGUUGUUUAUUUCCAGAAUUCAUGCUGCCCAUUCACUAAUGGUACCUUUUACAUGAAUACUUAUCACCACCAUCAAAUUAUAAGUAUUCAUUAUGACUGGAAAAAUUGCACUUUUCAUACAUGAAAAGGUGGAUCUUCUCCAUGGUCCGCCAUUUUGAAUUUCCAAAAAUAGCCAUUUUUAGUUGCAAAAAUGACUCUACUUGGACCAUACUAGAAUAUAUUUGUUUACUUAAUAAACUUUCAUGAAAAGAUCAAAUUGGGCAAUAGGCAGCCCAGUUUCAAUGAGCAGCAUAGUUGCAGUACCUUGUUUGACCAUUUCCUGCACAGUGUCCCUUUAAGUGCCAUCAUACACAUGCAUAAAGUGCUUACUUGAAGUGCAUACCUAAUACAGCCUCUACAUGGCAUCAUUACAUGGAUGGUAGUUUGAGAUUUAUUACACUGAUCUAUUACAGCAGUUUUAUUUGGAAAGCCCAAAUCAAUGUCUCUCAACCUGGGGUAUGUGUAGCACGAGGGGUACCAAAGCAGACUGCAAUGGUAGGUGGAAUAAUGUGAUGACACAAGUAUGGAACCACGGUCACAUUGGUAUAGAGCAGUGGUUCUCAACCUUUUUUGAAGAAACGCCCCCAUGGCCUUAUCACAAGCCUCACAACGCCCCCUUGACCUCAUCAUAAGCCUGCCAACGCCCCCUUUAGUAUUGAAAAAUAAUUAGACUAAUGCCCCCUAAUGGGAACUAAGACCUGCCCCCACUCAGCUGUAUCCUUCUCAAUGCCCACAAGGGCUCCUUAACGCACCCUGAGGGGCUGUAGGGCCCCGUUGAGAAACACUAGUGUAGAGGAAGAGGCUUAGCGCAUGAGGGAAUUGGGGUGACAAAAAGGCAUAGGGGGUAUGAAGACAAGGAAGGUUGGGGAAACUUUGGCGCAGAUUAUCAGCAGGCAAAAUUAUAUGUCAUGAUAGGUCAGUUUGGCUCAAAAAGUUCAAGAAAUUCAUGAUCUGAAACUCUGGGACUCAACUUUGCAAAGGACUUUACACAACAGCUUUAGCAAGGACGAUCACAAAGCUUAUAUCUGUCAGCAUCAGCACUGUGGCGAAGCUGACUUUUCCUAACUUAUGUUAGAAGAUUGGAGCAGGAUCCCUUUUUAAAUGCUAUGUUUAGGUAGGCGGAGAUUGUCAUUGACUAAUGUGGUUGCCCCUGAAUCCCACUGGUCACAAAUUAUGUACCAUGCAUGCAAAAAAACCGUUCUCCAAGCAUAUUAGAAGGAGAGUGUAAUGCAUUAAUCCACCCACACAAAUCAUUACUGGUUUGUUUAUGAGGUCUGAUGGUGUAAAAGGGAGCGGGAGGGAAUAGCAAUGGAAAUUAACACCGCUUCACAAAUACAACUUGGACGCAGAAUGCGUGGAUCAUCCGCAUUGUUUUCCGUAUGUGUCUGGACAUGCAAUGGGGAGACGUUGUGCUGUGAACAUCGCCACUCCCUUAGCCUGUAGAGAUGGCUGAAACUUAGGGAGAAGGAUAGAGGACAACCUUUGGUACAAGUCUCACUGAGAUGGAAUAUCUAAAUCUCCAACCGUAACGUCCCUGCGCCUGCACCCCCCUAUUCCUCCUGCUGUGGUUUUUCCUCUCCCAUGUCACCCUCAUUCUUUCUGUCUGUUGAAAAGGGGGUCCCACCCUCUGUAAUACCAUGACCUAGAGUUGCCUGCCAAGAGAGAAGGAAGGGGAGAGAGAGGGAGAGAGAGAAAAAAAAGUUGUUACGCAAAAGACUGAGAGGGAGGAAAAAAGAAAAUCUGGGAAGGUACAGUAUUGACGUCAGAGAGGACCCACAAGUAAGAAAUUCUUGGCUAAUUAGUCGGAAUGUGCUGGCUUAUUGUGGAGCAGUUCAGCUCAGAUGCCCUUCCAAAUACGUCUCUUUUGUUUUUUCUGCGAAGUAAAGGGCCAGCAGGCUCACUUUACCCCCGUGUGGAGGUGGUUUUGGUGUGCGUUUUUUGCGUCCAGGUCUAAUGGCAGUACAUUUUUUGCAGAUUUUCACAGUGAAGCACUCCAGCAACUUCCCCAACUCCAGCAGCCUAGCUUUUUUUCCCCCUCCAGAAGCAAGAAGCAAGAGCGUGACUUCUUAUUGCAUCUCCUGUGUUCGCCUUU